CGUUGUACACACUGCCCGUCAAGCCAUGGGAGUUGAUAAAACCUUAAGUGGGUGAGCUAACCGUAAGGAGGCAGCCUACCACGGUGUUAUUGAUGACGUGGGGUU
rnacentral:rRNA from 1 species